UUAAUUGAAGCCAAAUUAGAGGCUUUCCAAUGUUAAUGGAAUCAUUGAUUAUAAUAAUCCAAUUAAG
rnacentral:tRNA from 1 species